rnacentral:rRNA from 1 species
UACGUAGGCAGCGAGCGUUUGUUCGGAGUUACUGGGCGUAAAGAGUGCGUAGGCGGUUUCGUAAGUUUGGUGUGAAAUCUCCCGGCUUAACUGGGAGGGUGCGCCGAAAACUGCGGGGCUUGAGAGUGGGAGAGGUAAGCGGAAUUCCUGGUGUAGCGGUGAAAUGCGUAGAUAUCAGGAGGAACACCAGCGGUGUAGACGGCUUACUGGACCACGACUGACGCUGAGGCACGAAAGCGUGGGGAGCAAACAGG